rnacentral:lncRNA from 1 species
GUGAGGGGGUGGGAGGCGGGGGGCUUCACAAACUAAUGUGCUGCUGGCCUGUGAGUCAAACUUCAGGCUUUGGAAAGUUCAGUUUUGCUUCAACUAUGCAGGAAAGAAAAUGGGCUUCCUCAUCGAGACCAGGAAAAACUGGACUCCAUGUUGGCAGACUGACGAAAGGCUACACCAACCACCUAGAAUUGUUUGCCUUUUACGAGGUCUCUCAGGUGUCUUGCUUGACAUAAGCCUGUGUGUGGAAGCUGAAAUGUUUCAACCAAAUGGACAAAAGCAGCAAGGCACAGAAAACAGUCAAAAGAUCAGGAAGAGCCUUCUUAAGGACAUACUUGACAGCUAUCUUCAGUGCUGGGCCAGAAAUACUGUGCUGCAUCUACUGGGUCAUGCAGAGAAGGCAGCCUUGGUUAGCCUGACAAAAAAGCCAUGA